GUCCGCACCGUAACGAUGUACACUAGGUGUCGGGCAUGAGUCUCGGUGCCAAAGCUAACGUAAUAAGUGUACCGCCUGGGAAGUAUGCCCGCAAGGGUGAAACUCAAAGGAAUUGACGGGGCCCGCACAAGCGGUGGAGCAUGUGGUUUAAUUCGAUGAUACGCGAGGAACCUUACCUGGGUUUGACAUCUAGUGGAAUGGUAUAGAGAUAUAUCAGCGUAGCAAUACGCCGCUAGACAGGUGCUGCAUGGCUGUCGU
rnacentral:rRNA from 1 species